GGCGAUAAUCGAAAGCGGG
rnacentral:snRNA from 1 species